GUGAACGCUGGCGGUAGGCCUAACACAUGCAAGUCGAACGGCAGCACAGUAAGAGCUUGCUCUUACGGGUGGCGAGUGGCGGACGGGUGAGGAAUACAUCGGAAUCUACUUUUUCGUGGGGGAUAACGUAGGGAAACUUACGCUAAUACCGCAUACGACCUACGGGUGAAAGCAGGGGAUCUUCGGACCUUGCGCGAUUGAAUGAGCCGAUGUCGGAUUAGCUAGUUGGCGGGGUAAAGGCCCACCAAGGCGACGAUCCGUAGCUGGUCUGAGAGGAUGAUCAGCCACACUGGAACUGAGACACGGUCCAGACUCCUACGGGAGGCAGCAGUGGGGAAUAUUGGACAAUGGGCGCAAGCCUGAUCCAGCCAUACCGCGUGGGUGAAGAAGGCCUUCGGGUUGUAAAGCCCUUUUGUUGGGAAAGAAAAGCAGCAGGUUAAGACCCCGCUGUUCUGACGGUACCCAAAGAAUAAGCACCGGCUAACUUCGU
rnacentral:rRNA from 1 species